rnacentral:lncRNA from 1 species
CGACAGGCCGGGCUGGGUCAGCGAGCAGGGUGUUGAUGCCCGCGGCCGUUCUGACGGGGCCUCGCCCACGGGAGUGGCCCAAUCCAGGAACUGGAAACCCUUGACUGGGGAAGAGGAAGCCACAUGCCCAGUCGUGGGUCCAUCUUCGUUCUUUACCCCUGGACGGUGAUGCACUUUCCUGGCACAUCUCAUGGCCAGUGGCCCGAUGGUGGUGACUGUGGUGGGAGCAGCAGCAUAGCAGGAAGUAGCACGUAAGUACUGGGUGGCUGUUUCAACAGGAAUGACCCUUAGUGUACCAAGUCUUCAUUAAUCUACGGCCGAACUAAAUUUCACUGAGGAGCCUCCUUCUAGCAGGCGAUGGAAGCAUAAUCUCGGUCAGUUUGGGAUCUCCCGUCCCUGUGUUGUCCGACCGCACCGAAGCAGAGGAAGCGCCUGGAGAGCCACGGGGCUGGGGUGCAACACGCAGUCUGGCCCUCAGGGCGGUCAGGGUCCGCGUGGGCAUCAUCUCCAUGGCAGCCUGGCCUUGGCAACACGGCGGGAAGCAGGGUGGGGAGGAGAGCGGGUCCUGAAGCCAGGCUGCCUGGGUUCGGCUCCCAGCGUCCCCUUCCUGGCCCUGGGACCUUAAGCGAGUAAGUUAGCCUCCUACAGGCUCAGUUUCCUCGUCUGUAAGACGGUUCACAGUCGCGUCUGCCCGACCGGGCUGCUGCGAGGGCUCGACGAGCCGGUGCGCGUGCAGUGCUUUGGGACAAACGCUGCAUGUGACCCACACUCACUCCUCUGUGUGCCCGGGUUUGAUGGGGUCACCCCCACCUGCACCCUUUCCCGGUGGCCUGGCCUUUCGGUUCCCAGACGCCAGGUCCUGUUCAGGUCACCUGUAGGCACGUGGGACAGUGGGGCGGUGGCCGCAGAGUGUGGGGAAGGCUCUCCCGGACCCCAGUCGGGACGCACCCAGUCCACGCUGGGCACUUGACCUGGAAGGGGCAGAGCACGGGCUCCCGUCCGUGGGCCCCCAGCGCCCGGUUUUCAUUUCCCUCUGCCUCCCACCCACCCCGCGGCUGUGAUGCCUUUUCUCCUCCGGGGAGCUGAGACCACCCCUCAGUCACCCCCCGGGGUCUCGCCCUCUUUGUCCCCAGGGCUCUGGUGCGUCAUCUCUCCCCCGGAGCAGCACAGGACACAUCCUCUCCGCGGUGGAACGGAGUGAGGGCCGAGGGGCAGAAGGAAAUGUCGGGAACGGGGGACACGGGGACCCAGUUAAGAUGUCUGAUGUUCUCCCCGCGCACUGUGGCGCCACCUUGCUGAGGAUUCGACCCCGGGGUGGGGGCCUGGUCACGGGAACAGAGGUAUGAGGGCUGUAGCCCCCACCCCGCCCCGCCCACCCCAGAGACACCGGCAGAGCCCUCUGGGUCAGAGGCAGGGGCACCUGAGAACCCCCACGGCGUGUCAGGAAGCGUGCUCUCAGGCUUAGCCAGCUGGUCCAGCCAAGCACUGCCCGCAGGUGCACCCGGCACCCUAGGCCCUCGGCCAGAUGCCGAUGGCGGCAUUGAAUGUGCUUCCUGCUAAGCAGCCUAAUCAAGCUGUUUCUGGUCGCACAAUGGGACUCAACCCUGGCCAACCCUGGCGGAAAGGCCAGCUUCAUAUAUCCUUCUGGAGCCAGUUUCCAUGGAGACCCCCUGCUCUUCCUUUCCAUUCCAGCCAUGUGGUUCUCCUCACUGGGCCUUGAACAAACCAUGCUCGCAAGCACCCCGGGGCCUUUGCACUCCCUAGUCCUUCUGUGCAGACAGCCCUUCCCUCAGGUACCUGCAUGGCUCCAGGUCUACCUCCUUCAGGUCUUGGCUCACUUGUCAUCUUAGCGGUGAGGCCUUCCCCGAUCUCCUGUUUUAAACUGUCUCCUCUCCCUUCCUUAGGGUGAGGGUUAAGGUCCCCCUGCACAAGAGCAGGGACUUUGUCUUGUUCACUGCUCUACAAAUGAAGGACCUCGCAGGGGCUUUCUGCCUUCUUUGCGUUGUAAACCCGAAGCAAGAAAGCCCAGAGAACUUAAGCGACUUGCCCAAGACCACACAGCUGUUAAGAAAAGGGGAAUCUGUCCUGGUUAAUUCGUAUCGAACUUGUUCCUUGAUCACAUCCUGUUCCCUCGCAUUGUCACUACCUAUCCUUUCCUCCUUUUGAUCUCCAGCUGCAGAAACCUCCACCCUUCCAGGCACCCUGGGGCUUCUGGGGAGGACCCUUGGUACCCUCACCGGGAGGGACGAGCCCCUGCUUGGUGCCCUGUACCUUGGGGGGGCACUUAGCAAAGACCCUCACAGUUGUGUGCUGGGCCUUGUGUGGCCCCAGGGCGGAGGCUGUGUUUCCCAUCCGUGAACACCAGCCUGCAGGAGGGAGUGGGAGCACGACAGCCCCCCUCAGCCUCAGCCCUCCCACGUGCCCCCCCCAUACCCAUUUCUACCCAGAACUUGAGGGCAGGAGGAGGGGCUCAGAGCCAGGACAGAGGGAACAGAGGGAAGGAACAGAGGAUGACAUUUGCCAACCUCUCUAGGUUGUCUUUCUUUAUGGGCGGGAUUCUUUGAACCCCCCGCAGACCUGCUUCUGCGUUUGCAGGAGCUGUUUGGUGCUUCUUUCUAGAAGGGAUGGUGGGAUGCUGUCUACACCCAUUUCAAGUUCAUUUCUGGUCCUGCGAGCAAGCUGUUAACUAGUCCUCCCCGGAUGGAUCCCCUCUUCUGCCCCGCAGUCCCCACCCGCAAUGGGAGGGUCGGGCCCAAGUCAAACUCUCCACCCUGUAGCCGGGAGGCUGGCAGGUGCACCAGAGGGCAGACCCCAGCGGGGCAGGAUGGGGAGAGGCCUCAGGCCUCCCAGCCCCAGAACAAUUCAAGCCCCCCCGCUGACAGCCCAGAUAGGGGAAGCAAACCCGCUGGGCCCUCCAGCUUGGAUUUCACAUAAUGAGCCUUUGGAAUCCGGGAAGUGAUUAAAAGCCCACUGGGGAGGGGCCACCUACCGGUUCUGGAAGGUGUGGGGCUCACCAGGAAGCUGCACUUAGACGAGAAAGAGGAAAAGCACAGAUUCCGAAAUAGCCCAGUUCAGAAGUGUAGGGCCAGGGAGUUGUGUGACGGAGACGGGGCAGGAAGAGUGGCCCUGGGGUGAGACGGGUCAGGCCGGGGAGUCGUGUGAUGGAGACCGGGUGGGGACGGUGGCCCUGGGGUGAGACCUGUUGGGCCCUUAUGGGGGCAGGCGGGGAGGGGGGCGGGGAGGGCAGGGACUCAGGGGCCUCCGCAGGCCGCAGCAGCCCCGCUGUGCUUACUGAGUCAAUCAGGUGCCUGCUCUAAAACCAGAGGGCUGUAGAGAACCUGAGCGUCACAGUCAAGCUGUCUCCUACUGGUGCGACCACCAGGGCAGAGAGAGGGAGAGUGGGCUGCCUGGUGUCACACAGGCUGGGGGGGGACUCGGCCAGGCCUAGGUCUCAGGCCCCCUGCCACCCCCUCAGAUUAGAGUGACGAGAGAACUAAGCCAGCCUGGAACCCCACGCGCUCACUCCCCAUCUCAAGAGCUGAGCCAUUUGAAGCCUCUUGCUGGGUGCUGGGUCAGGUGGGGGUAACCGGUAAGAGCCCUAAGUGCGGUCACUGUCCUGGGGCCAUUACCUCUCACCCCCUAGACUAGUCCUAGGAACCGUGUUCUUUAUUUUGCAGGUGAGGCAACUGUGGCUCAGAGAGGUUAAGUCACUUGCCCAAAGUAACAAAGCUAGAAAGCAGUGGAGCUGUGAUCUGUACCCAGGCCAGCCGGACACCAAGCCUCAGCCCUCCCAGCGUGCUGGGCUCGGGGAAGGUGAUGUGGGACAGUUGAGGCAGGAGUUGUCGUACAAGGUUAGGAGGAACUUUGGGAACUCUAGCAAGGAAGGGAGAAUAUUGCGUCUUUGAGGCAAAGCUUCCUCUUAGUCACAGAGGUAUGGCCACCAGGCCCUCAGGCGGUCCCUUCAUCUUGCUGGGCAGGGCCCUGAAAAGCCUGCUCCUUUCUGCUCAAACUGUACAAACAGAGUCUCGGGGCAGGAAGACCCAGUUUGUAAAACAGAAAGCUUCUCAGAGAUGGGGCUCCAGAGGAAGGUCCGAGGGAUUGCCCCUGGGUUUGUCAGGGGGAGGCGAAGGAGUUCGGGGCAGCUGGCGACAAGAUGCCAGCCUGGGGCGUCCAGGGGGCCCUGGCCAGCGUGAGGCUCAAGGAACGGGUGGGCUGGGGCCGGAGUCCAGCGGGGCCUUGGGCCGGGGCCAGAAGCCGAUCGUGCUAAACAAAGCAUUACACAACCGGCUCAGUAACUGCUUCAGUCGAGUGGGUCAAACUAAUUCCUUCCAGGGGCGCCUGGGUGGCGCAGUCGGUUAAGCGUCCGACUUCAGCCAGGUCACGAUCUCGCGGUCCGUGAGUUCGAGCCCCGCGUCGGGCUCUGGGCUGAUGGCUCGGAGCCUGGAGCCUGUUUCCGAUUCUGUGUCUCCCUCUCUCUCUGCCCCUCCCCCGUUCAUGCUCUGUCUCUCUCUGUCCCAAAAAUAAAUAAAUGUUGAAAAAAAAAAUUAAAAAAAAAACUAAUUCCUUCCAGCUCGGGAGCUCUACUUGGGGGCGGCGGGAGCGGGCAGGCCCCUGAGUUCCGGGACCCUGUGUCCAUGUGGGUUUAAUUAGUUCCAUGGUCACUGCCCCCCUCGGGUACAGCCUUGCAUGCCAGGCCCCCGGCAGCUGCCUGGUGCCCUUAGAGGAACCAGGAAAAGAGGAGGGUCCCUCAGGGCAGUGGGCCAGCGUGCAGGCAGGACUGGACUGCUCGCCCAGGGCAGCCACGGCCGGGAGUCUGGGGCCGGCAGAGCGGUGACACAGAUCCAAAGACUCGAGCGGGAGCUGUGUGGUGGGCCCGGGUCAGGACCAGGAGAGGCUGCGCGUGGGAAAAGGAGGCCAGCAACUUUCAGGGUGUGAGGCAAGUCAAGCCAGAGUGUAAGGGACACAAGGGUGUGUUUGGCCAAAUUUGGGGCUCUGCCAGCAUCACAGACGACGGAACAGAGGCUCCCGGCAGGACUGAACUGUGGCGGGCAGUCGGGACUGGAGGCCUCUGGGAAAAGUCACAGAGCUCGGAGAAUCCCAGUACCGGCUCCGCAGCAUUAGUAAAAAUGCAGAUUCCCUGGCCCCACCUGAGGCCUACAGAAUGAGAAAUUCUGAGGGUGGGACCCAGCGAUCCGUGUUUCACACAGACCAGCAGGUGACGCUGACGUGCGAUAACGUUGGAGAACCGACGGACGAUUCACAGUGUGGGCCACAGACCAGCAACGUCAGACCACCCGAGAGCUUGUUGGAAAUGCAGGAUCUCAGGCCUGGCCCCAGACCUACUGAAUCAGACCCUGCAGUUUGACAAGACCUCAGGGCGUUUGCAUGUGCCUUCUGGCCGGACAAGGCCCGCCCCUGAGCUCCGGCCCUGGGCUUCCUUGGUCUGAGCGUGACUGGGUCUGAGAGACAGGAACACGAGGAUGAACGAGAAGGAGACCAUGCCUCUCCAGACGCAGGCGAGAGCUGUCCUCGGAUCUUCAUGAAUCCAGUUCACUCCCAGAAAGGGUCACCAAAAAAAACCCUACCACCACCACCACCACCACCACCACCAACCGAAAACCCUGAUGGCUUCUGAGCCUGCAAAGAUGCCCAAUGCAGACGCUGUGCAGAAAGCAGGUCGCAGUAAGACAAACAGCCCAACAGCUGCUACUCCCCUUCCACGGGGGCCAGCUGGGCCGGCUGGGGGAGGCUGCUCUCAGCCCUCUCGGCAGGGGUGAUUUAAGGGGACGCUGGGCAGGCCGGAGUGCCCCCUGCGGAGACGCUCAUGAGGAGACAAAGCUGCAGACGGGCGGCCGGACCGGUCGUCAGGUGUGCCCAGGGUCACCCAGGGUCCCAUUCUUUCUGGGGGAAACCGCAGAGCAGUGGAGAUGAAUUAUAGGAGAGGUGUCCCGGCAGAUAGGAACGUCUCACCCUCACGACACCAGAGGGAAUCUCUUUCGUCCCCAUCCCCCUCCGAGCUGGGGAUUCUACCAGACUGGCCUUUCCACCCCCUUUAACAGGGGCUGUGGAUUGGUAUUUGUCUGUGAGGGUCGAUAUGUGCCGGGCUCCGGGCUGAGUACCCCGUAUGUGCGUUUUCAUUGAAUUCGUCCCACAAUUCCCUUAGGUAGGUACCGCCGUUUUAGGUUUCCACUAAUAUUUUGGUAUUUACUGAACACUGAUAGAUAUUUACUAUUCUACAGGUGGAAAAAGUAAGACUAGAAGCGGGUGGCUCUCCAAAGUCAGCUGAGGGGAAGGAAGAGGCCGCCAUCGACGCCAGGCUCUCCGGCCGGCGUUACACCUUUGCUACUCAGAGAACGGGACCAGCCGCCUCAGCAUCAUUUGAGAGCUUGCUGUGCAGAAAUCUCUGGCUUCACCCAGAUUUACAAACUCAGACUCUGCAUCUUAACAAGGCCUGCAGGAUUGGUACGCACACCACGGGCCGCGGGUUCCCCCUCACGUGAGGAACACAGCUGAUUUGACUCGGAGGCCCUUCUCGGGUCCUUUCCGGGAAGCAGGGUGUGAGGACCCCGGUGGCAGUCACCAGCUUCUACCGCGACACAAGAGAGCGAGAGAGAGAGAGUGAGAGAGAGAGAGAGAGAGAGGAAGGGAAGUGUGUGCCCUCGCGAUGGCCGUCUUCACGGACGGGUUGGCCCUGUCUUCCCAAGGUGAAGUACCAUCCGCGCUUUCUCUGCAGACUCCGGAGAACGGUCCCGCAGGCGCCCCUGGACUACAGUGGCAAGAAGGUACUUCUGAGUUUCUGUCUCCCUGGGGCCCAGCAACCUCUCGUGGGUGACGGUAAUCCUGCCCACUUCCUCGUGGGCGUGCGUUUAGGACCAUCAGGGUGGGAAGCAGUUUGCCGGCUCAGAGCGCGACAGCGUAGGAUGCGAUCCUCGCGUCACCUAGGCCAGGUGCCUGAUGCCUCCGCCCUGCGAGGUCACCUCAUGUCGCCCCUCGCUGGGAGGCCCCAUCGGGGUCCCCCCUGCCACCGCCAUGUUUUCUGCUCCCUCUACUCCCACACUAACCUGAGGGCCUCAUGGGCCUGCCGUCCUGCCUUGCGAUACAAGUACCCGCAUACGGUUCUGCCCUUUCUAAUAGGACACGGUACUUC